rnacentral:misc_RNA from 1 species
GAUGAAGAAACGCAGCGAAAUGCGAUACUUGGUGUGAAUUGCAGAAUCCCGUGAACCAUCGAGUCUUUGAACGCAAGUUGCGCCUCAAGCCAUUAGGUUGAGGGCACGUCUGCCUGGGCGUCACAUAUCGUUGCCUGAUGCCAGUUUCCUCGUGAUGGGUGACUGUGCAGGGCGAAUGAUGGCUUCCCGUGAGCAUUGUUGCCUCAUGGUUGGUUGAAAAUUGAGUCCUUGGUAGGGAGCGCCGUGAUAGAUGGUGGUUGAGUGACGAACGAGACCCAAUCAUGUGAGACCCCUACCGAAUUUGGCCUUCAUGACCCACAUGCGUCUUUGGAACGCUCAUGACGAGACCUCAGGUCAGGCGGGGCUACCCGCUGAGUUUAAGCAUAUCAAUAAGCGGAGGA